CCGCACACCACGGGGAGCCAGCGGUGCCCUGUACCCGCAAUCCGCUUUAGCGGGGUGGAUGUUUGCCUUGAGGCGCUUUGUUGACUGACAGUUGACGAGGAUCCGGUGAAGGUGUGGCGUCUUGCCUGGCGUUUGGAUGAUGAACCAUGUCAGGGCGGGAACGCAGCAGCAUUAAGUCAACCCCGGCGGGUAGUGUAAGGCUGUCACACUGGAGGACUCCUCCCAAUUGCUUGGUGGCCAAGGUGGUCGAGGGGCAGACGUGCGG
rnacentral:SRP_RNA from 1 species